rnacentral:rRNA from 1 species
CGAACGGGUGAGUAACACGUGAGUAACCUGCCCCAGAGUGGGGGACAACAGUUGGAAACGACUGCUAAUACCGCAUAAGCCCACAGAACCGCAUGGUUCAGAGGGAAAAGGAGCAAUUCGCUUUGGGAUGGACUCGCGUCCGAUUAGCUAGAUGGUGAGGUAACGGCCCACCAUGGCGACGAUCGGUAGCCGGACUGAGAGGUUGAUCGGCCACAUUGGGACUGAGACACGGCCCAG